AAUGAACGUUGGCGGCGUGGAUUAGGCAUGCAAGUCGCGCGAGAACCGGUUUCGAUCGGGGAAAGCGGCGAAAGGGAGAGUAACGCGUGGGUCACCUACCCUCGGAUCCGGGAUAGCUACGGGAAACUGCAGGUAAUACCGGAUGAUGUCUUCGGACCAAAGGUGUGAUUCCGUCCGGGGAUGGGCCCGCGUCUGAUUAGCUAGUUGGUGAGGUAACGGCUCACCAAGGCGAUGAUCGGUACUGGGUGUGAGAGCAUGACCCAGCUCACUGGGACUGAGACACUGCCCAGACACCUACGGGUGGCUGCAGUCGAGAAUCUUCGGCAAUGGGCGCAAGCCUGACCGAGCGACGCCGCGUGCGGGAUGAAGGCCUUCGGGUUGUAAACCGCUGUCGGAGGGGAUGAAUGGCCUGGGGGUCCUCCCCCAGGUUUGACAUAUCCUCGGAGGAAGUACGGGCUAAGUUCGUGCCAGCAGCCGCGGUAACAC
rnacentral:rRNA from 1 species